rnacentral:other from 1 species
GUUCUAAUGUGAUCUUUUCUUUUGAAAUAAAUUUGUGAUGUUAAAUUCAAAAGAAAUUGCUAUUAGAAUAAGAAGGUUAACUAUUUAGUUUUACUUCCAGGAUGCCUUGAAAGCAGCCCUUUUAAAAUCCAGGAACCAUCACUCGACUUAAUAUUAUAAGUGACGUAUUAAGUUUAAAGUUUUCACUUGCCGAACAACAA